rnacentral:rRNA from 1 species
GCGGCGGACGGGUGAGUAACACGUAGGCAACCUGCCUGCAAGACCGGGAUAACAUUCGGAAACGAAUGCUAAGACCGGAUACGCAAGCCUGGGGCAUCUCGGGCUUGGGAAACACGGAGCAAUCUGUGGCUUGCGGAUGGGCCUGCGGCGCAUUAGCUAGUUGGUGGGGUAACGGCUCACCAAGGCGACGAUGCGUAGCCGACCUGAGAGGGUGAACGGCCACACUGGGACUGAGACACGGCCCAGACUCCUACGGGAGGCAGCAGUAGGGAAUCUUCCACAAUGGGCGCAAGCCUGAUGGAGCAACGCCGCGUGAGUGAGGAAGGCCUUCGGGUCGUAAAGCUCUGUUGCCAGGGAAGAAUAAGAGCCAGUUAACUGCUGGCUUGAUGACGGUACCUGAGAAGAAAGCCCCGGCUAACUACGUGCCAGCAGCCGCGGUAAUACGUAGGGGGCAAGCGUUGUCCGGAAUUAUUGGGCGUAAAGCGCGCGCAGGCGGUCUUUUAAGUCUGGUGUUUAAGUGCGGGGCUCAACCCCGUGACGCACUGGAAACUGGGAGACUUGAGUGCAGAAGAGGAGAGCGGAAUUCCACGUGUAGCGGUGAAAUGCGUAGAGAUGU